CAAUGGUAACGAAAUAAGUUGACACCGCGUCGCGUCAAAACAUGUUCAAUUCGAAUUUACUCGGAAUUACACGUUCAACGAGCAUUUCCUGUGAAACCUGAUUUAAGGAAAAUUACUGUAGACACCUAAUAGUGAUUUGUACAGAAGCGAGCCCCGGCAGGAAUGAUGGCCUCUUUUGAAAUGAAGAUUUCAUGCCUUACUCCUACUGGGACUACAACUAACUUUGGAUCUGGUCACUCGCAGAUACAACAUGAAGUGUGCCCUCUUGAUGUACAUGGGAAUGGGAGUGAUACAGAAGGGGGACUAAUUGGAAGAACUGCUGCUGGUGGUGGUGGUGCUGGACUGUCUUGAAUCUGUGGCCUAACCGAGUUGAUAUUCUUCUGUUUAAUAUGGGAGCAACACACACACUCUGGCAUCUAUUGCACAGAAAAUCAUGAUCAGAUGGUGCCCUCCCUAUCAAAGUGGUGAUCACUGUCCUUUAUUUCUUUGAAAUCCUGGAUCUGUGUUUUGGUUUUAAUCUCCAUGGACAAUUGAAACAGAGAAAGAAUGUGGGACCACUCCUUGACAUAUCUGAAAUAUUUAUGUCAUAUACAUGUAAAUGAAAUUAUACAAUUUGGGUUGGAUGAAAAUCUUAUCUUCAUGUUAAAACCCAUUAGCCUAGGUUAUUUUUCCUAAAAUCUAAUUAUAAAUCAAUUAACUUGUUAAUUAAUGCUUGGUGAAUCAAUUAUUAAAUUGUAUUCAAAAACUUGGAAUUAUUUUUUUUCACUAAUAAACUGAAAAUGUGUAUCUUCAAA